CUUGGCGAAAAGCCGGCGUGGGCCGCUCUGGCCUCCGGGAGGACUUGUUCUCGGUGUCCGGCGGCCUGCGCGUGCCGCGGUGGGCGGGCCUGACGUGGGUCGCGACGGCCGCCUCAGCUGCUGAGAGUGGUCCGCGGCGCCAUGGUGUCGCAGGGCGUGCUGAGUCUGGCGUCCAGAUUUAGUUCAUUCAAAAGAACCAACAUUAUUCUGCAACAUUUGAGAGCAUGGAAGCGCACUGAAGCAGCCGGAGAAGUGCUGCUGGGAAGAAAAGGCUGUGUGGGAGUACUGACGCUGAACAGGCCUGGGUCCCUCAAUACACUGACUCUUCAUAUGAUUCGGCAGAUUCACCUACAGAUAAAGAAAUGGGAGCAAGACCCUGAAACUUACCUGAUCAUUAUAAAGGGAGCUGGAGGAAAGGCUUUCUGUGCUGGGGGCGACGUCAGAGUAAUCUCAGAAGCUGCAAAGGCAAAACAGGAGCUGCCCCGAUAUUUCUUCAGAGAAGAAUAUAUGCUGAACAAUGCCAUUGCUUCUUGCCAGAAACCAUAUGUUGCACUUAUUGAUGGAAUUACAAUGGGUGGGGGAGUUGGUGUCUCAGUUCACGGACAAUUCCGAGUGGCUACUGAAAAGUCUCUUUUUGCAAUGCCAGAAACAGGAAUAGGACUGUUCCCUGAUGUGGGUGGAGGUUAUUUCUUGCCAAGACUUCAAGGAAAACUGGGUUACUUCCUUGGACUGACAGGAUUCAGACUAAAAGGAAGAGAUGUAUACAGAGCAGGAAUUGCCACGCACUUUGUAGAUUCUGAAAAGUUGGGCAUGUUAGAGGAAGAUUUGUCAGCCUUGAAAUCUCCUUCCAAAGAAAACAUUGCAGAAGUCCUAGGAACCUACCAUACAGAGUCCAAGAUUGAUCGAGACAAACCUUUUAUACUCGCAGAACAUAUGGACAAAAUAAACAGGUGUUUUUCAGCCAAAACUGUGGAAGAGAUUAUUGAAAAUUUACAGCAAGAUCGUUCACCUUUUGCCUUGGAACAGUUGCAGGUGAUUAAUAAAAUGUCUCCAACAUCCUUAAAGAUCACACUAAGGCAACUCACGGAGGGGGCCUCGAAGACCUUGCAGGAAGUAUUCACUAUGGAAUAUCGGCUAAGUCAGAAGUUCAUGGUGCUGUGCCGGUCACCUUACCUGCUCUUCCUCCGUGAAACAAGAUGCACUCUCUAGCAGGAUGGGUACAGUUACCUCUGCUGCCAGAGGAGGAGACUAUAGCAUAGAGAAGUAACCUGCAGCCGCUUUGUGGCAGAAACAAGAGUCGUCACGACUUUCAUGAAGGCAUUAGAGCUGUUUUAAUUGAUAAAGACCAGAGUCCAAGGUGGAAACCAGCUGACCUAAAAGAAGUGACUGAUGAAGAGUUGGAUGAUUAUUUUAAAUCACUGGGAAGCAAUGAUUUGAUUCUUUGAAGUAACUGUUCUUUUCAAAAUACUGCACAUUUUGGAGCAAGGGUUGGCAAAGUAUAGCACGUGGGCCAAAGCUGGCCUGCUGUCCAUUUUUAUCUAGCCUGCAAACUAGGCAUGGUUUUCUAUUUUUAAAUGGUUGGGAAAGAAAUCAAGACUAAUACUUUAUGACAUGUGAAAAUUGUAAUAGCUCAAAUUAAUCUUUAUGGGAACAUAACUGCACCGUCUCCUUACGUGUUGUCAGUGGCUGCAUUGAGUACUGGCAGCAGGACGUGGAUGACCUGCAAAGCCUAAAAUCUUGAUUGUCUCAUCCUUGUGAGAAAGUUUGCCAACCCCAAAAGGGGAAAUCCUAAUGCCUCUGAAGAUUAAGUAGUUAUAUCUAAUUGAAUUAGGAGCUUUGUUUAAGCAACAUAUAAACCAGUACUGAAAGCUAAAUACAAACUUGGGUAUAGAUUAUAAAAAAGAUCUUGAAUUUUGGGGGAGUAUUCUGUGUAAAUGCUCAAUAAACUUUUCUUUGAGUAUA